GAAGACCUUUAAAUGCUAUUCAGAGAGGUUCAGUGGAUUUUGGAGGUAACACAGGAGCUCAAUGAACAACUGGAUGAUGUGGUCAGACCUACACUUUAGAAAAAAAAGUCACCUUGGCAGCUAAUAACUAUCUAAUGUGUCAUAUUAACCUAGAUCUUUCUGACUCCCUUUCUUAUUCUCUAUCCAGUGUAUCAUGUGUCUCAGUUGAUGGCUGGGACAUUCAGAAACCUAACCAGAAUUACAAAGGGCCAAAGAAGAGAAUAACCACGGAUGGUAAUGGAGCUGUCACAGAGGAGAGAGAAGUGGAAAUUCAUGGUUCUCUUGUGAGGCAAAGACAUCUGUGUUAUUGCACCCUAAGCCAAUAGUUUUUAAAACAAAGUCAUAAAACAAGCUACUGUAUAUAACAGGGAUGGAAAAUAUGUGGAGCUUUCCUCCACCCUGUACAGGUUUCUGAAAAGAAAGAAAAAUAGACCAAUGACUGGGAAUGAAAGAAGUAUGAGCUGCCAGCAGGAGGGUACAUAGCUCCCAUCUUCCAAAGGAACAGGGAUAGAUUAUGCUAAAGGAAAUGGAAUAACCAAACCCAUGUCAGAAGCAACGUCAAUGACCAGGCAACAGGAAAGGCACAGCAUGUCUCUGUAACCUCUGGUGAUUCAAACUAGGACAGGAGUGAUGAUCAAUGGUUCCACUCCUCUGCGCUUCUAUUGUCCUGACUCCAAACUUCAGAUUCCUGUCUAGGGGCCUCUGGACCAGAAUUCUGUAUCACUGUGGGAUAUUCAAUGAAUGUUUGUUGAUUA